AGGAACCGAGGAACAUAAGACGGCAGUCCCUGAGCUGGAUUGAGCGGUAACAUCCUUUUUUUUUUGUCGUGUCUUCUGAGCAUCUACCAGGUUGCACACCUAAACACACACACACACACAACGACGACGACGGGGCUUUAGUGAGUCGCUGCUCUCCACCUUCCGGUUCCUGUCCGCCUAAUCAAGCGGUGAUACAGGCGCGUAGAGGCUUUGUCCUCUGUGAAGCACUCUCCUGCUCUCUCCUUAUCGCCACAUCAUUCGUCAGCGACACAAGCACUCUUCACGUAUCCCGUCAAGAGAGGGGACGCGUGACCGCAUUGCCGGCUCGAAACCUUCUUCGUGCAUCUGUUUCGUGUAGCUGAUAUUGCCGAGCUUGGGCUCCCACCCAAGGCGGAGAUUGUUUACAACUCCGCAAGAGUCGGGGAUCGGACCGUUUAGAGGCCAGCUGCUCCUCUGCUUGGGCGCCUCCUCCUAGAACCGUGCACGAGGACAAGGUGCGACUCGGUGGCAAGGGGAGCGGCGGGCUGGAGGGUCAUCCAUAGAAAGCGGUUACCAAAUCAUAGAGCUGCCCGGAUCUUCGAUCGACCAUAACUUGUGAGAGGGGACACCAUAGAUCAAACACAGAGCGUACCGCUCUCUCUCUCUCUUUCCCAUCGCUGCAGAUUCAUCGCCGUUGCUGUUUUUCGCGCGUCCUCUGUGACUGCGUGUCGCGAGUGCGGCCAUUCUCCUUAUCCUGUUUCCUCAGGCAAAGCAAUGCAGUCGCUAUCCAAGUACAAGGAGACGAUUGUCUUCGUCUCCUGCGCUACAUUACUCCUUGGAACGGUAUUGGUGCUUCAAAAGGCAACCACACCCUCACGUCAUCGACGCCGCGCCGCCUUGUCGGUGUCGCGUGCAGGCACCGUGACCCGCUCGGCAAGCCACGGCGCGGCUGGCGCUCGCAGCCGCAGCUCGAGCCGGCCUCGCGUGGCACACAUGAGCCACGCACACAACAGUGCCGCGCCCACGACGGCCACAGCAAUCGAUCGCAUCCACGCUGCGAAGAGCCGUGAGUUGUCGCAAGCACACUCGCAUCGACACCACUCUCACCCUCGAAACGGCGGCGUGUGGGCGGAAGCUGCCACAUCUCGUAUCGAGAGCUCGGACGCGACUCCACCGCCGAAGCUAACGGUAGAGGCAGUUGCGCAACACAAAAAGGCACUGGGCACGGCCAGCGCACUGCAGGAUCCAGGGCACAGCGACCUCGCUGGCAUCCACGCUCCCCGCCGCGGCGUCUCGAGUUCUGGGUACCGUGUGAACGGUGGCAGCGGCAGCGUGGAGGAUGGCGCGUACUACCGAAGCGCCUCGAACGCGGCCACUGUGGGGAGCCAAGCUCCGUCCCCGGCGCCGGCGACGGCGACGACGGUAGGCACGGAGAAGGUACCCUCUGAGGCAGCGAAGGUGGCUGAGGCGAUGACGCCUUGGCUCGCGUCACCAGCGGCUGUCGAGUCUUCGCGUGUAUGCUUUGAGGGUACCGACAGGGGCCGCAAGGAGGAAGCGGACCGCAACACUUCACCGCAGCCAGCCACGGGCACCGCGAAGCCGGUGAGGGUUGCAGCUGCAGCAGCUGCACCGGCGGCAACAAAGGCACAGCCGAGCUCUCCCAGCAUCCGUGCUUCCACGGCGCAGACGGACCCGCGGUGGUUUUGCGAAGACCGCGGCACGCAGACGGAGACAAGCGCAAUGCAAGACGCUAUCAAAUCAGCGGCAAGCGCGACGCCAGAUCGGUGGCUGGCGGCGGCGAUGAUGAGUCCGAUCAUGCCUACCGGCGAGAACGUGAGCGACUCCAUGCUGAUCCAUUGUGCCGACUUGGGGUGGACGCCGUUGCACGACGGCGCGGCAUCAACCGGAGGGGCAGUGCACGCAGAGAAGCGCGCGUGCGAACACACUCAGCCCCCUGUGGGCGACAAGGCAGAGUCGGUUGUGAUCCCGCGGUACUUCCUGCGGCAACUGGAGCGGCAGCUGCGACUCCUCGUGGACGACCUGGCACAGGAGGAGUGGAAUGAGCGAGCAUGGAUGUGCCUGUACACUUACCUCUCCGAGUUGCCUUUGAGUGUACGUACAUCUCUGACGUCGCGUGACCGCUGCAGCGCUGCCACUGUCGCGCAGCUGGUGGACCGGAUGAUGGCGAACGCUCUCACCGAAGGCAACCUUGUUGAGGAGACGGUGGCGAUGGCGAACAAGUCGGCAGAGCAAAAUCCCAUCCCCAGCCUUCCUCGGGAAGUGCUGCAUCUUCUUCAGCAUAGCACGGCGAUCGACCCUGAGUUCCACUUUGAGUGGAAGGGCUCCACUGUAGCGUACGUCGAGGGGCCAUUGGGGUCCGCCUCGCGACGGGCUCGCAAGUCAGCGGUGGCGAGCAAGGGAGAGGUGGGCGAUUUGCCGCAUGUGCUGCCGCCCUCCUCGUCGCUUUCUUCGACAUCAGUUGCUCUCACAGACGAUGAGGAGGAGAGGUCGUGGAUGGACGACGAGGAGGUCGGGUGCACCUCCCGCUUUCUCUCCUUCAUUGCGGCACACAUCAAAAAGUACAGCGACCUUCGCCUGCGCGGCGCGGCUACACAAUUUCCAGAGCCGGGUACGGGGGAGCUGCGGACACCUCCCGGCGCCACGGGAGUCGCCCAGGCAGGAGCCUAUGAGCUUUCGACACCGCCGACGAAUAGGCGAAGCGACGCAGACACGGCGCUGCAGCACCAGUUCCGUGACCAGCAAGACCAGCUCGCGUCGAUCCUGGCGUCCUUUGUGCGGCUGCGUCACACGCCGCUCUUUCAGACACUGCGCCACACCUCGGAGCACGCUCUGUUUGCGUGCGACUUUAUUGAGCUAGCAUCCGCAGCGGAGCGCCUGCUGGAGCGUGCUUCCCCGGCUUCCGCCGCUACACUGCUGCUGGAAAUUCCAAUGGAAGAGAGGCGCGUGAUGACUGAGGCGACGGAUGCCCGCGACACGAGUGUCGGCACGAGCACAUCUGUCGGGUCGGGGUCCAGCCCCACGACUGGCCCCAGUGCCCGCCACAGCGUCAGAGUACGCACGCCGAUGAAGCCGAGCAUCCGGCAUCCGAUCCAGCGCAUGCUAUCGAACUUGCCGUCGCCGAGCGGAUUAUCAUCGCGGCGCAGCACGCAAAUGCCCGACAUGUAUAAGCAGCUUUACUCUCCGCCAGUGCACGCCGGCGAGGAAGAGCGUGGACGGACUGUGAGCGUUGCUACUAUGCGGGGUGGUCGACUUGCUGCGGAGACGUGGGCUGCCUGACAAACCUACCGGAAAGAGAAUGUAGCCGGAGCGGCAUAGAUAAUGUUUUCUUGUUCUCCGAACCGCCGACACAUGUCUUCUAUAUUUGCGUCUCUACUAUCGUGUGCCCGAUGGAGUCUUUUGCGCACGUGUGAGCACUCCUGGCUUAAGUUGCUGAGCUUCAUAGAAGAAAUCCUGACAGAGAGCCGUAUGCUCUCCAGCGUAGUGGCUUCUUUUUUUCUCACACGGCGAGCAUGGCUUCAGGCACAGCCAAGGGUGGAUGGGUGGGGUGAUGGAGUUGCUGCAGGCCCUCUCGCAUACAGCGGCGCGGCCUUCUCGCGGGUGUGCCUCCCCCCCACCUCCCACACACGCAUACCCGUUAUACGUUGAAGGGAAGUGGGCGUCAGUUUUGAGACACACGAUGACGUCGCUCUCCUCGAGCACUGCGCACACUUCCGCCUCUUGCGUAAAGCCUUCCUGUCUCGACAACUUUUCGUCUGUUUCGGAUGGUGCGGAUUUUCCGCUUUAGCGCUGACUUCGCUUUCUUUCGCUUGUGUGUGUGCACUGUUUUGUCACCGUUGCUGUUUGAAGGCACCACUUCACCCCUGGUCCCCCCCUCCUCUGCCCAAAUUUGCGUAUGGUGUCGAUGGGAAGAGAAGGAGGAAGCGGGUGGGCAUCGCAGCCAUCGCACCAGUCGAGGUGGUCGCAUGCAAGUCCUUUGUUGUGUGCAUUCCUUCCGUGAUUGCGUAAUCGUGCUUGAUGGAAGUAUGCUCGACGCAGGACGACACGCAG
rnacentral:misc_RNA from 1 species